GCGGCGGACGGGUGAGUAAUGCCUAGGAAUCUGCCUGGUAGUGGGGGAUAACGCUCGGAAACGGACGCUAAUACCGCAUACGUCCUACGGGAGAAAGCAGGGGACCUUCGGGCCUUGCGCUAUCAGAUGAGCCUAGGUCGGAUUAGCUAGUUGGUGAGGUAAUGGCUCACCAAGGCGACGAUCCGUAACUGGUCUGAGAGGAUGAUCAGUCACACUGGAACUGAGACACGGUCCAGACUCCUACGGGAGGCAGCAGUGGGGAAUAUUGGACAAUGGGCGAAAGCCUGAUCCAGCCAUGCCGCGUGUGUGAAGAAGGUCUUCGGAUUGUAAAGCACUUUAAGUUGGGAGGAAGGGCAGUUACCUAAUACGUAAUUGUUUUGACGUUACCGACAGAAUAAGCACCGGCUAACUCUGUGCCAGCAGCCGCGGUAAUACAGAGGGUGCAAGCGUUAAUCGGAAUUACUGGGCGUAAAGCGCGCGUAGGUGGUUCGUUAAGUUGGAUGUGAAAUCCCCGGGCUCAACCUGGGAACUGCAUUCAAAACUGACGAGCUAGAGUAUGGUAGAGGGUGGUGGAAUUUCCUGUGUAGCGGUGAAAUGCGUAGAUAUAGGAAGGAACACCAGUGGCGAAGGCGACCACCUGGACUGAUACUGACACUGAGUGCGAAAGCGUGGGGAGCAAACAGGAUUAGAUACCCUGGUAGUCCACGCC
rnacentral:rRNA from 1 species